UCUCCCCUCUUCGUUCUCGCGCCGACUCCUUCCCUUUUCUCUUCACGCGUGCACGAUGCUGCCACCGCACUGAUCGCCGCAAGCUCACCGUCGGCGGCCAUUUUCUUCUCCAGCGUGCAUCAUUAACAUCAAACUGCUAGGUGGCUCGAGCCUCCCUCCUCCCUCUCCUUCUCGCCGAGAUGCCUCCAUCACGCCUUCGACACCGACCAGCGGAGCAUUCGUCGGCGCAGAUCCGGUCGUCAAUGGCCCUCCUUCAGCCUCAGGCAAGGGCGCCCGACUUUCCUUUAUGCGCCACAACCGCCGUGUAGAUCGAUGCCAGCCCUAGUCGCGGACAUCUGGUGCUCGCCGGAAGCCGUGAGUGCGAGUCGGCGACAGGGUUGCUAGCUUCGAUCACCGUGGCCAGCCGUCACCCUCUUCCUUACACACUGGUGCCCUAGAUCCGACCCCUCCACUCCGGCCAACUGGUGUCGAUGACUAUGGCCUUACGCCAGUUGUUUUCCCCUCGUCAAGAAGUUGACUACGGAUAGACUUUGGCUACUUGUGGCUCGUUGCAACCACUAGACAUCUACUUUGACCAUCAUUCUGCUCAAGAUUCAGUGCUGGUCCCUUCCUUGUGAUCAGAAGGCAAAGUUUGGUGAAGCUAUUGGGGUUGCUGUGUGUGGCUGAGUAGGUGCUGCAUUCCGAUUAGGGUGAUUGUUUGGAUGGCAGAGGCCAAAUGAUUUCGGCAGUGAACCUCUUCAGCUGAGAGUUGAUGGAGAAAUCAUCCAAUUCAGAUUUGGGGCUCUUGAUUUGCUUUGGCGAUCUUUCUUCAGCUAAGGAUUUAAAGAAGGGGGUUAUUAAGAUUAGUUUUCAUGGUAGCAAGUAAAGGAUUUAUGAUUCUAUCCGUCAGUCCCAUGCCACAUCGAGCUUCUCCUUUCAUUAGUGUUUCCUUUCGUAUUGUUGGUUUUGUACUUGUUCUUAUUUUUUUGUAUUCUUUUAUAUGGAGUUUUGUUUUGUGGUAUCUUGUAUUUAGUUGGGUGGUGAUGUGUCAAGCUGAGCCGGCU